UGGGGAAUUUUGGACAAUGGGCGAAAGCCUGAUCCAGCAAUGCCGCGUGUGUGAAGAAGGCCUUCGGGUUGUAAAGCACUUUUGUCCGGAAAGAAAUCCUUGGCUCUAAUACAGUCGGGGGAUGACGGUACCGGAAGAAUAAGCACCGGCUAACUACGUGCCAGCAGCCGCGGUAAUACGUAGGGUGCAAGCGUUAAUCGGAAUUACUGGGCGUAAAGCGUGCGCAGGCGGUUUGCUAAGACCGAUGUGAAAUCCCCGGGCUCAACCUGGGAACUGCAUUGGUGACUGGCAGGCUAGAGUAUGGCAGAGGGGGUAGAAUCCACGUGUAGCAGUGAAAUGCGUAGAGAUGUGGAGGAAUACCGAUGGCGAAGGCAGCCCCCUGGGCCAAUACUGACGCUCAUGCACGAAAGCGUGGGGAGCAAACAGGAUUAGAUACCCUGGUAGUCCACGCCCUAAAACGAUGUCAACUAGUUGUUGGGGAUUCAUUUCCUUAGUAACGUAGCUAACGCGUGAAGUUGACCGCCUGGGGAGUACGGUCGCAAGAUUAAAACUCAAAUGAAUUGACGGGGUCAUA
rnacentral:rRNA from 1 species